UCGAUAUUUUGAGGCUGGGGUGUACAAGCAGGUUCUCAGAAUUCUUUAUAAUGAAGAAGUGAUUCCAUUUGAUAACCACACAUUGUAAAUGGCACUAUUCGGCUUACAGGAGUCUCAGCCCAAGGCUGGCGCAGGGCCUAACGAGCCAGCAGAACUUAAAUCAGAGGGAAAUAAAUUCUAGGCUUUGAAAGCCCCUGGAAGAGUAACUCCCCUCAAGCCCAGGAAAAGAGGAAGAGGAUACCCAGCGCAGAGGGAGGCGAUCCUAGACACCUUUUGUCUGCAGGUUAUCAAGACUGUGUCCUAGAUUCCAAGGUGACAAUGCCACAGUGUCCUGGUGACCAAUUUUCUAUUUCUUCAUCUUCCUUCCAUGGUGGAGACAUGCCCAUUGAGGAUAAAAUAAGAACUAAGGAGACAGCCCGCAUCACACAACAUUUCACUCAGCUGUGUCGCUGAGCACUGACAAACUCAAUUUACGAAAGGCAAGAGUGAGUUGACACCAUGCUGUGGCAGUUGUCCUGAUGGGAGGAAACGACUCAUUUCCUUCCAAGGUAGAACCCACCUUCUCUGAGAAGCAAGCUUAUACACAAGAGUACUGAAGACAAGGAGAAACUGUACAGAAGAAGAUGCAGGAGGUCCGAAGGGAAGUCAGAGACAAAAGAAGGAAGGAAGGAAGCAAGCACUGCUCAUGAAUGGUAUGGAACCUGGGCCCCAAGGCUUCUCUGAGGGAU